UUGACUUUUUUUCUUCCUUUUUUUCAAUUCUUGGCUUGAUUUUUUUUAUAGUGACAGUGAAUGAUUUUCGUUUCUUUUUGAAAGUAAUCGUGGUAGACGAGGAUGAUUGGGAUGCUGAACAAAUGCUGGAUCUUUACUGGCACGAUUACUUGGUGAAGAAGAAUAUGCACGGGACAGCUGAACUAUUUAGACAAUAGGCCGGUAUUUCUCACUGUUCAGUUGUGAUUGAUUCUCCCCAAGGGCUCCUUCAAGAAUGAUGGUCGAUGUUUUAUGACAUAUAUUUCUCUAGGCAAACAAAGCUUCAAGGGCACUCUGAGGCAGAAACCUCUAUUGAGGCUGAAAAAAUGGAAGAUCAAUCACAGAAUCUCGGUCCAAUGUUUUUGCCGCAAUUGAUGAUAAAUUGGCAAAUGGCUAGACAGGUUCCUAUUCCCAGAUACUCUGAUUCCAGUAAUCUAUUACUUGAAAUUAAUCAAGUAAGGCUCCCCAACUCAUUUGCAGCCAGUUAAAGUCUUCUGCAACGACAGAUGACUCUCACUCAGCAUCAAGAACAAAUUCAAGGCAGCAAUUUGGGAAUUACCUUUCCUAUUAAUUCAGUCACCCCCUAUGGGGCACAAAAAGGCAAACUUCCUAUAACUUCGCCUCAUGAUGCAGGCUUGAUCAAAUCAAUGGACCCAGCACCACUGAAUGGAUGGCCUUUUGAUGCCCCAAACUAUCAGCAACAAAUUCAUAUAUUGAAUUGUCAGCCAGAGAGAUUAGAUGAGGGGCGACCACUUAUGCACAAAAACCUGACACCUACUUUUCCCGGAAGCUCUGCCAAGUUAAGUUAUCAUAAUCUGAUAAUUCCUAAGCAGGAAAUAAUUGAGAAUAACAGACCUGUCAGUUGAAGCGGUAACAUAAAUUUUUGGGCAUCAAUUGUUGUCUUUUUAUUUCUGUAAAGAUCAUAUAUAUUCUGCAUCUAUUGGAUUUGUAACUAGAUACCCUCUGUAAGAUGCUAUGACCCAUGAUGAUAUGUAUGUUAUCAACUCUCUCCAUUAAAUACUCAUAAAUUAAAAAGAGAUCUUAUAGUAGGGAUCGGAUGCAGCUUAUAUGCUUGUGUUUAUUGGUUUCACUUGUUGGAAGCUCUUUCACUCUCAUUUGAGGGGGGAACUAUCAUGAUUCUUUUCUCAUUAGUGGCUGAUUGCUGAUGAACCAGAUGACAAUCCAAACAGCACAAAUGGAGCAUCAAAACCAUUAUAAUUUGCUGCAGCAACUGCAGGAUAAUAUCAAGGCUGAGGAGUAUAAACCCGUUGAUGAUACUGUUGAUUCUUUUCUGUCCCAUGAUGAUGAUGUUGUUGAUAACCCAAGCACUCCUUUCAAGAUUUUAAGGCACCGUUCUAGCUGGCUUAAUAAAACGUGAACAUGAAGGCUUCACAUUUGAAGAAGUUAGUUGCCUCCACUCGAGCAAAAGCAAAGUCUUGAGCUGCCAUUUUUCAUCAGAUGGGAAGUUUCUAGGGAGUGCAGAGGAUAAAAAGAAGGUGGUGCUAAGGUCUUGAUAUGGAAUCUGGAAACCCUUGAUUUUGUUAGAACUUCGGAGGGCCAUUCUCUACUCAUUACUGAUGUUCGUUUUAGACAAAGUUCAACCAUAUUUGCAACAUCUUCUUUUGACAAAACUGUCCAAAUAUGGGAUUCUGACAAACCAAGAAAAUCACUUUUCAAGCUUGUGGGGCAUGCUGAACAGGUUUUGUCAUUGGAUUUCCACCCUAGAAAGGUGGAUCUUCUUUGUUCCUGUGAUAGCAAUAACGAGAUGCGAUUAUGGAAUAUCAACCAACGUACUUGCAUUAAUGUCUCUAAGGCACCUACUAAAUAAGUCCGAUUCCAGCCGGGACUAGGAAAGUUAAUUGCAACUGCAUCGGGGAAUGUUGUCAAUGUUAUUGAUGUUGAGACUAACAAGCCUCAAUUCUGUUUGAAGGGGCAUGACAAAGAUGUACUUUCAAUUUGCUGGGAUCCAUGUGGCAAGUAUAUUGCCUCCAUCAGUGAAGACAGUGCACGAGUGUGGUCAGUAUCCGGGGGAGAAUGGUUGCAUGACUUGUUCUCAACAGGCAACAAGUUCCAGUCCUGCACAUUUCAUCCUACGUACUCACAACUCUUGGUCAUUGGUGGCUACCAGUAUAUUGAAUAUGGAAUCCAAUUGAGACCAACAAAACAUUGACAGUUGAAGCACACAAGGGACUUAUUUCUUCAGUUGCGGAUUGUCUACAGACUGAAAUUAUCGCUUCCACAAGCCAUGACCAGUUCGUUAAGCUAUGGAAGUAAACAUCCUUCUCCAUGAUUACUCAUGCAUCUAUUUGUACAUGCAGAUCAUUUCUCAGAACAAGAAACUAAUGACAACUCGGGUAAAGAGUCGAGAUAAGUACCGGGCCGAAGAUUGCCCGCUUAGUGGUGAAGUUAAUAGAAGUAUAGGUAUACUCGCAUGAAAUCUUAACUACAGGCUAGAAGUUAUACAACCAAAGUAUAAAAUGAGGGCUUUUAGUUUCUCUUUUCUUGUCGACUGCACUUCCGGACUUGGAUCCUCCUGUUUUUACAUGGGAAAUAGAGGAGUAAAGUUAAAACUGCUUAAUUCUGUGAGAAUAAUGAAGCUUUAUGUGGGAAAGGUUUCGGGAU